UAAAGAGGGAGAAAUAUAUUUUUUUUUUUUUGUUCCAAAAUAACUUCUUCCUCUUCCAAUCUAAUCGCCAACUGAGCCAUGGGAUGAUGGGAGAGGAAAUGCCAAAUGCAGAGGAACCUCAUCUCUGAUGUAAGGAUCCAUGAGGCUAUGGAGUUCUUCUACAUUGCUCCUUCAAGCACCUGGUUUGUUAAUGUAAAACGCAUUUUUUCUUCUCAAUUAUUUAUUUGACUCAUAAUAAUAGUUCCAAUAUCACAACCCCAUAUGCAAAACAUAUAUUUUCGGUGUAAUCAGUUCAUCCUCAAUAUACUUGGGAG
rnacentral:lncRNA from 1 species